UACGUAGGGUGCAAGCGUUGUCCGGAAUUAUUGGGCGUAAAGAGCUCGUAGGCGGUCUGUCGCGUCUGCUGUGAAAACUCAGGGCUUAACCCUGAGCUUGCAGUGGGUACGGGCAGACUAGAGUGCGGUAGGGGAGACUGGAAUUCCCGGUGUAGCGGUGAAAUGCGCAGAUAUCGGGAGGAACACCGGUGGCGAAGGCGGUUCUCUGGGCCUGACCUGACGCUGAGAAGCGAAAGCGUGGGGAGCGAACAGG
rnacentral:rRNA from 1 species